AGUGAACGCUGGCGGUAGGCCUAACACAUGCAAGUCGAACGGCAGCACAGGAGAGCUUGCUCUCUGGGUGGCGAGUGGCGGACGGGUGAGGAAUACAUCGGAAUCUACUCUGUCGUGGGGGAUAACGUAGGGAAACUUACGCUAAUACCGCAUACGACCUACGGGUGAAAGCAGGGGAUCUUCGGACCUUGCGCGAUUGAAUGAGCCGAUGUCGGAUUAGCUAGUUGGCGGGGUAAAGGCCCACCAAGGCGACGAUCCGUAGCUGGUCUGAGGUGAGGAUCAGCCACACUGGAACUGAGACACGGUCCAGACUCCUACGGGAGGCAGCAGUGGGGAGUAUUGGACAAUGGGGGCAAGCCUGAUCCAGCCAUACCGCGUGGGUGAAGAAGGCCUUCGGGUUGUAAAGCCCUUUUGUUGGGAAAGAAAUCCAGCUGGCUAAUACCCGGUUGGGAUGACGGUACCCAAAGAAUAAGCACCGGCUAACUUCGUGCCAGCAGCCGCCGCAG
rnacentral:rRNA from 1 species